rnacentral:ncRNA from 1 species
CCACGGAAGAAUGCCAGAGGGUGGAACGUUUUAUGAGGAAGGUCAGCCUAUAGGAAUGAUUAGAGGUCUUAGGGCCAAAAUGAUCUCAACCUAUUCUCAAACUUUAAAUGGGUAAGAAGCCCAGCUCGCUGGCGUGGAGCUGGGCAUGGAAUGCAAGUGCCUAGUGGGCCACUUUUGGUAAGCAAAACUGGUGCUGUGGGAUGAACGGAACACUGGGUUAAGGCACCCAAUGCUCAUCAGACCCCAGAAAAGGUGUUGGUUGAUAUAGACAGCAGGACGGUGGCCAUGGAAGUCGGAAUCCGCUAAGGAGUGUGUAACAACUCACCUGCCAAAUCAACUAGCCCUGAAAAUGGAUGGCGCUGGAGCAUCGGGCCCAUACCCGGCCGUCGCGUUGCCGAAUCCCUGG